CCUACGGGCGGCUGCAGUGGGGAAUAUUGGACAAUGGGCGAAAGCCUGAUCCAGCCAUGCCGCGUGUGUGAAGAAGGCCUUCGGGUUGUAAAGCACUUUCAGUGGGGAAGAAAGCCUUGGGGCUAAUACCCUCGAGGAAGGACAUCACCCACAGAAGAAGCACCGGCUAACUCCGUGCCAGCAGCCGCGGUGAAUACGGAGGGUGCGAGCGUUAAUCGGAAUUACUGGGCGUAAAGCGCGCGUAGGCGGUCUGAUAAGCCGGUUGUGAAAGCCCCGGGCUCAACCUGGGAACGGCAUCCGGAACUGUCAGGCUAGAGUGCAGGAGAGGAAGGUAGAAUUCCCGGUGUAGCGGUGAAAUGCGUAGAGAUCGGGAGGAAUACCAGUGGCGAAGGCGGCCUUCUGGACUGACACUGACGCUGAGGUGCGAAAGCGUGGGUAGCAAACAGGAUUAGAUACCCGGGUAGUC
rnacentral:rRNA from 1 species